AAGUCGAGCGGACCGACGGGAGCUUGCUCCCCUUAGGUCAGCGGCGGACGGUGUGAGUAACACGUGGGUAACCUGCCUGUAAGACUGGGAUAACUCCGGGAAACCGGGGCUAAUACCGGAUGCUUGAUUGAACCGCAUGGUUCAAUCAUAAAAGGUGGCUUUCAGCUACCACUUACAGAUGGACCCGCGGCGCAUUAGCUAGUUGGUGAGGUAACGGCUCACCAAGGCGACGAUGCGUAGCCGACCUGAGAGGGUGAUCGGCCACACUGGGACUGAGACACGGCCCAGACUCCUACGGGAGGCAGCAGUAGGGAAUCUUCCGCAAUGGACGAAAGUCUGACGGAGCAACGCCGCGUGAGUGAUGAAGGUUCUCGGAUCGUAAAACUCUGUUGUUAGGGAAGAACAAGUACCGUUCGAAUAGGGGCGGCACCCUUUGACGGUACCUAAACCAGAAGAGCCACGGCUAAACUACGUGCCCAGCAGCCGCGGUAAUACGUAGGUGGCAAGCGUUGUCCGGAAUUAUUGGGCGUAAAGCGCGC
rnacentral:rRNA from 1 species